rnacentral:rRNA from 1 species
CUUGCUUCUCUGAUGGUUAGCGGCGGACGGGUGAGUAACACGUAGGCAACCUGCCCUCAAGUUUGGGACAACUACCGGAAACGGUAGCUAAUACCGAAUAAUUGUUUUCUUCGCCUGAAGGGAACUGGAAAGACGGAGCAAUCUGUCACUUGGGGAUGGGCCUGCGGCGCAUUAGCUAGUUGGUGAGGUAACGGCUCACCAAGGCGACGAUGCGUAGCCGACCUGAGAGGGUGAUCGGCCACACUGGGACUGAGACACGGCCCAGACUCCUACGGGAGGCAGCAGUAGGGAAUCUUCCGCAAUGGGCGAAAGCCUGACGGAGCAAUGCCGCGUGAGUGAUGAAGGUUUUCGGAUCGUAAAGCUCUGUUGCCAGGGAAGAACGCUUGGGAGAGUAACUGCUCUCAAGGUGACGGUACCUGAGAAGAAAGCCCCGGCUAACUACGUGCCAGCAGCCGCGGUAAUACGUAGGGGGCAAGCGUUGUCCGGAAUUAUUGGGCGUAAAGCGCGCGCAGGCGGUCAUUUAAGUCUGGUGUUUAAUCCCGGGGCUCAACCCCGGAUCGCACUGGAAACUGGGUGACUUGAGUGCAGAAGAGGAGAGUGGAAUUCCACGUGUAGCGGUGAAAUGCGUAGAUAUGUGGAGGAACACCAGUGGCGAAGGCGACUCUCUGGG